rnacentral:rRNA from 1 species
AAAACGACUCUCGGCAACGGAUAUCUCGGCUCUCGCAUCGAUGAAGAACGUAGCGAAAUGCGAUACUUGGUGUGAAUUGCAGAAUCCCGUGAACCAUCGAGUCUUUGAACGCAAGUUGCGCCCAAAGCCUUUAGGCCGAGGGCACGCCUGCCUGGGUGUCAUGC